GUGUGUGUGGUGUGUGUGUGGUGUGUGUGUGGUAUGUGUGUAGUGUGAGUGUGUGAGUGCGUGGGUGUGCAGGUGCAUGUGUGUGGUGUGUGAGUGCGUGUGUGUAGUGUGAGUGCGAUGCCACUGGGGGACUGGGGCGGCGGGAGGAGUCUGCGGGGCGCCGGGGCGGGGAGGACUCUGCAGGGAGCAGAGGCCUCACGCCCAGAGCCCCGGGCAGGACACAGGCUGCCAGCGGCCCCCAAGGCUGCACUUGGUGCCUGGGGGCUCCCGCACCCCCGGCCGCUCCUUGGGGUCCCCACUUUCCGGGCGCCGCUGUAAGACUGAAUGAGCAGCAGGGAGACACUCAGCACCCGCGCAUGUCUGCAGUGAGGGGGCGGCCCUCCCUGGGCCACCACACACAGCAGGGACGGAGCGUCAGCCGCCUCGCCGCGGUCAGCCCGGGCCAGCAUGCCCCACUGCGGCCACCUCCCCGUGCAGAAGACCGAGGAACAGGACAGGCAGGCUCUCUGCGGUCAGGGACAAGCGGUCCUCCUGGGGCUGGUGCCCAGCGUGGCCGUACCAGCCGGCCGACACGCGGUGUGAGGCCUGCGGCCACUCACCCUGCUCGCCGUCAGAGAUCACGUCCUGCUCCCCCUUCUGCACCACGGUGACAUUGCCCAGGGCCUGGCUGAGUCUCAGCACAGCUCCAUGACGGUCCCCGCCAUCCAGAGGUGCCCCCAGCUAGACAGGAGCACAGACACGUCCUCAUUGGACACAAAGAGCCCGUCUGCCCAGGUCCCAACUCGUCUGGGGGCCUGCCCGGCACCUGCUGACCGAGCUCGGCCCUGAGGCCCAGGCCAUCCGCACUCCAGGCAGACACCAACACGGCGCUCAGGGCAGAAACACCGCAGGGCGCCCGCCCCGACCUGUCCUGGCAGAGUCAGGCCCCUGGCCCACGGCAGGGAGUCUGCAGGUUUGCCCGAGUGACACAGCGCAGAAGGAUGAAGAGCGACAUGCAUGGGCAUGAACACGUAAGGACGCUGGACGGACAGACGCAGCUGACCCGUCAACAAUUUCGGUGUGAAUGUCGCAGUCCUUACAUGUGGGCUGUCUUAAUUCAGGCUGGCUGAAUCCACGGAGGUGGAGCCGCACGUGUGGAGGAACCGUGCUGACCGACCCUCAGGUUCUCAGCAGCGUGCAGGCGGCAGCACCUAACCCCGUGCUGUGGGGUCAGCCGUGCGGUUUGAUCUCAUCCUCACAAACCCUGUGACGUGGACCCCAUCCCACCCCACCUGUUAGAGGAGGGGAUGCAGGGCAGGGACGAAGCGAUUGCCUGGGGGGCCCAGAGGCCGGGCUGACUCCAGAGCCCACCACCCAGCUUUCACCCCAUCAAGGACGCUGACCGGAGAAUGCCCUGGAGUGAACGCAGUCACCCGCCUAGGUGGCUGGCUGACUCACCACAGCCUCGGACAGUCUGCCGAACUCCACGUGGUUGGGGGUGAGGACUGCCCUCCGGUAGCCCUGGAUGAGUGCCGGCUGCUGGGCGAUGAGCCAGAGCCCAUCCUGCAGACGAGGACUCAGGUCACUCGGGCGGCCGCAGGGGCCGUGGUGAAGAGGGGGCAGGGCAGGGGCCACACUCACCGCAUCGAUGACCACGGGGACGCCCCUGGCCUUGGACGCUUCUAGAAUGCCCUGCAAGAAAGGAAGGCAGCUGAGCACUGAGCCCGUCACCUGAGGAAAGCUGAAAGAAACAGCAGUUCUGACGGAUUCCACACCAGGCCAUCAACACACACACGGGAAAUCAUAAAGCAAGUGCAAAACACAAUCAGAAAAGCCCCUCUGUAGGGCCGGCACGGGACCCUGAACACACGAGCCACGGAACCACCGCCACUGCUGGGCCCCACGCCAGUCCAUGGAGGCCGACUCCAGGCUGGCAUUUCCAAAUCCUAACAGUUACGGACCCUCGGGAUUCGGGGUCAGAAAUCUGACGUCUCAAGAAGCACCCGGCUCUUCUGUUUUUACGCACUUCUCGAGUGUCACAGGAAACACUUCAGACUUCCCGCGAUCAGAGUGGUCUCCUGGGAGAGCCCAAGGCUACCUUGACGUUCUCCAGAAGAGUGUCAUCUCUGCCGAGGCCGGGCCCCACCACCAGGGCGUGCAGUCGGGGUAGCCACUGCUCCACGUCGCGGACAGCGUCAGGGCUGUCUCUGAACAAGGAGGAGACGCACCAAUGGCUUAUUUUCACAUGUUCGUUUCCUUUAUUGAUGACACUACAGACGUCUGGCAGAUGUCCCCCAGGGUCCUUUUCCUGUCCCAGGACACCCUUCUGGCCUCCUCCACGCCCAUACCCCCCACCCGUCUGCUCCCUGCUGCCUGCACACCAGGCCCUCCCACCCACACACACCCUGCCUCCCGCUUUAAACACCAUCCACCCGGCCCUUCUCCUCCACAGGGUGCCCCCAGGACCCGACAAGAGCCUCCCAGUGGGACCCCUGCCACUCCUGGGCCCCAAGGGCUUAUUCUCAACACAGUGGCCUGACGAGCCUUUAAAAGCCUCAGGCUCCACAGAGCCUCUGCGGGCACUUGAAGAAACUGUGGGCUCCCCUGUCUCAUGUAAGUCAAAGCCAAAGCCCUUACGAUGACGCUCAUGACCUGCACCGCGCGGCCUGGAGCCUCUGCGGUCGCCUGGCCCGGCCUGAGCACCCACGCUGAGUGCCUCCAGUGUGAGCUCCUACACCCUUUCCCCACCCACCCCGUGUCCGCCGGCCUCACUGGACACCAUGCCCUGUGCCACUGCCCACCACCAGCCCACGAACAAUCACGCCUGCCUGACGCGCACCCGCGUCCCCGUCCAGGGACGCCCGUGGCCCCACCCCACUCACAGAACGGGGUGCACGAUCAGCUCCGGGCUGUAGGACUUGAUCACGGGCGCGGCCUCCUGGGUGCAGAACACGUGGGACAGGUCCGCGCCCUGGGGAGGGGCACAGCAGGUGGCUCAGGCGGAACUCGCCUGACAGACGCCCAGAGCGCGCGGCCCGGCUGCAACCGCCCCGACCCCAGCAUGGUCCACAGGAGCGCCCACCGCCGCAGUUCGACCUCACCAGGAGGCGGCUGAGAAGGCCCUGGCCAGCGGCAGAGCCUGGGAAAGGCCUGGAGUGAAAGGCGGACACUGCUGCCACGCAAGAGGAGCCUGGUGGGCUACAGUCCAGGGGUCGUAAAGAGCGGGACGGGACUGAGCGGCCGAACAAGGGGCAGGCCACCAGCAGCCAGACGGCGUCCCCAUGAGGUCUGUGGGCUGCAGGGUCCACCUUAAGAUCCCCAGGCCACCAGGUCCUCGGGAUGCGCGAGAUCAAAAUGCCUGGGCAGUGGCCACGGUGAAAAGGUGUCCACCGCUUGUGUGAGGCCUGAAAAGGCAGCCCGGGAUCACCGUGGCAAGGGGCACUUCUAAUAAAACUUUAAGAGAAAAA